rnacentral:lncRNA from 1 species
CAUAGUCAAAGAGUCCAAGGACCAGAUUACAGCAGGAAAUAGCUAGAAAAUCAUCUGGAAGAAAAAGCUGCAAUCUCCCAUAAAAUUGUCAGUUGUCAUUUUUAAAUUUUAGAGGAAGCAGUUAUCAAAAUUGCUUUCACCAAAAAAUUCGGGGAGACAGCUUUCAUUGUGCCCCAGGGUGAAAUGAUUCAAAUUGAAUGGAUUUGCCCAAUAGCAACUUGUUGUUUUUUCAAAAGAAAUCCUGGCAUCAACUUUUGCCCACCUAGAGUAGAGAUGUUUUUCAAGGAUGAUGCCAAGAAUGAUUCACAGUGGUGUGAGGAAUAGCUAAUUGCUGCAAAAUUUUGCUUUGUUGGAUUUGUCCGCCAAAUUGAAGUAGACAUCAUGAGUCGUGCUACACAGAUAUUUUUUAAAUAUUACAGAAAUCCUGGUUGUCCCCAAACUGUAGGGUGUUGAUAUGAAGAUUGUAUUUGGUAUUAAUGUGAGAAUCAAAGAAAUUGUUCUUGCUGAUGUUAAUGAUGAUGAUCCCUGGUGACUCUG